UUUUGCCCGGCGGGGGGCUCUUUUACGUGGGAGCACCACGUCAUCAAUCUCAACAGGGCGCAACCUGUCCGUCUUACUGGUUUUGGAGGUAGCACCUGGCAGAUGGUGCGAUUUGCACGUAGCCUUUCGGCCGCUAGGGACCAGUGGCUUGUUAUCAGAGGAUAUAGGGGGUGCAGAGCCAGGGGUGUGGCUGGAUGCCCUGAUAGCGGAGGAGAUAGAGUGGGACAGGGUGUCCGACAUCGCCCCCAUGGCGGUAAAAAUGGCCUGUG